AUUCCUACAAUUUCUCAGAAUACUGUGGACAAAGACUGAGGAAAUAAACU
rnacentral:snoRNA from 1 species